rnacentral:rRNA from 1 species
UACGGGGGGGGCAAGCGUUGUUCGGAAUUACUGGGCGUAAAGGGUGCGUAGGCGGCGCGGUAAGUCGGGUGUGAAAUCUUGGAGCUUAACUCCGAAACUGCAUUCGAUACUGCCGUGCUUGAGGACUGGAGAGGAGACUGGAAUUUACGGUGUAGCGGUGAAAUGCGUAGAUAUCGUAAGGAAGACCAGUGGCGAAGGCGGGUCUCUGGACAGUUCCUGACGCUGAAGCACGAAGGCCAGGGGAGCAAACGGG